rnacentral:rRNA from 1 species
AUUGAACGCUGGCGGCAGGCCUAACACAUGCAAGUCGAACGAGUGGCGGACGGGUGAGUAAUGUCUGGGGAACUGCCUGAUGGAGGGGGAUAACUACUGGAAACGGUAGCUAAUACCGCAUACCAUCCGAUGUUCCCAGAUGGGAUUAGCUGGUUGGUGGGGUAACGGCUCACCAAGGCGACGAUCCCUAGCUGGUCUGAGAGGAUGACCAGCCAAACUGGAACUGCGACACGGUCCAGACUCCGACGGGAGGCAGCAGUGGGGAAUAUUGCACAAUGGGCGCAAGCCGGAUGCAGCCAUGCCGCGUGUAUGAAGAAGGCCUUCGGGUUGUAAAGUACUUUCAGCGGGGAGGCGUUACCCGCAGAAGAAGCACCGGCUAACUCCGUGCCAGCAGCCGCGGUAAUAC